CCCUAUUGUUCCACCUGUGCGGAGUCUCUCCAAAGUCCGGAGAUGGCCGUUUUAGCGAGGCGAGAGGGUUUGUGGGCUGUCACUGUAGCUGUUUCUGUUUGCAGCAAUGUCCAUGUGUUUAUGGUGAUGGGGAUUGGCUGGGUGGUUUCUAGAGUGUGGCGAUAUUCCGAUGAAAGAUAUUCCCGCAUCCGAAGAGGCAGGUGCGGGCCGAAGGGCAAAUCUACUUCCAUAAAGAAGAUGCUGAAUGAAACGGAAAUAAAUACUUCCCCUCAUUCAGCAUCUUAAAGACUAAAUUUUCAGUUUUAUCUAA
rnacentral:lncRNA from 1 species